rnacentral:rRNA from 1 species
UACAGAGGUCCCAAGCGUUGUUCGGAUUCACUGGGCGUAAAGGGUGCGUAGGUGGUCGGGUAAGUCUGAUGUGAAAUCUCUGAGCUCAACUCAGAAACUGCAUUGGAUACUAUCUGGCUAGAGGAGUGGAGGGGGGACUGGAAUACUUGGUGUAGCAGUGAAAUGCGUAGAUAUCAAGUGGAACACCAGUGGCGAAGGCGAGUCCCUGGACACUUCCUGACACUGAGGCACGAAGGCCAGGGGAGCAAACGGG